GUUAGUCUAGCUUAGUCAAUAAAGCACAAUGCUCUUAACCUUGUGGUCAUGGGUUCAAGUCCCAUGGUGAACU
rnacentral:tRNA from 1 species